GUGGGGAAUUUUGGACAAUGGGCGCAAGCCUGAUCCAGCAAUGCCGCGUGCAGGAAGAAGGCCUUCGGGUUGUAAACUGCUUUUGUACGGAACGAAACGGUCCGGGUUAAUACCCUGGGCUAAUGACGGUACCGUAAGAAUAAGCACCGGCUAACUACGUGCCAGCAGCCGCGGUAAUACGUAGGGUGCAAGCGUUAAUCGGAAUUACUGGGCGUAAAGCGUGCGCAGGCGGUUUUGUAAGACAGGCGUGAAAUCCCCGGGCUCAACCUGGGAAUUGCGCUUGUGACUGCAAGGAGGGAGUGCGGCAGAGGGGGAUGGAAUUCCGCGUGUAGCAGUGAAAUGCGUAGAUAUGCGGAGGAACACCGAUGGCGAAGGCAAUCCCCUGGGCCUGCACUGACGCUCAUGCACGAAAGCGUGGGGAGCAAACAGGAUUAGAUACCCGUGUAGUCC
rnacentral:rRNA from 1 species